UGUUGUUUCCCUUCUGCCACACACCUGGAUUGAAUCUGUGGUGAUCAACAGGUUUCUGCAGCAUUGAUGGUGAUGUAAUGAUUAGAAUCAGCUGCUCUGGAGUAGAGACAUCUAAACCAUGCAGAGCAGGAGGCCUGAGGACUGGAACUGAGAAGGACUGGUAACCUGUUCUGACUGAACAUCUGAUCCAUAGACCAGUCUUCCUCAAACUGGUGGGCCACUGCUGGUCCGUGGCCGCCCCCUACUGGUCCGCCAGGUACUGCAUUAAACGACCGUUUAUUUUCCGUGACGUCAGCUCAUAGUGCAAAGCUACAGCUAGCUUAGCAAGGGAUUGGGGAAAUAAUGAUGGAUAACUGGCUUAAAACCAGGUCACUCAAAAGAAAAGCUACAGAUACCGGUGGAAAGGAGCUGGAAAGAGUUUUACCUGACCAGAGGAGGCUGAAGCUGCUGUGGUUCACUAGCGAAUGGAUUCCUUUGAACGGCUCUAUGCGGGCAACUUAUUGCUGCAGAUCCACCAAUCAGUUGAUCAACUUCCCAUCAGAGACCAGCUGGCUGGUUUCCUGCUGACAUUGAUCAUGAUAUCUGAAGUUCUGCUGAGAUUCCAAUAAAAUCACAAAGAACUGUU